rnacentral:rRNA from 1 species
UACACACCGCCCGUCACACCAUGGGAGUUUGUUGCACCAGAAGUAGGUAGUCUAACCGCAAGGAGGACGCUUACCACGGUGUGGCCGAUGAUUGGGGUG